UUUGUGCUAAAGUUAGUACAAAGUUGAGUCACUUGUUUUGGGACGGAGGGAGUAUAUAGUAAGAUGCUUUUUAUUAAAGUGUCCCGAUGAUGAAAUUGUUUUGUUAUUCAAACUAUACCAUAUAUACAUGUUGUUUCUCUAUACUGAUAUCCAAGUUUUUUUUCUUAAGUUUCUUCAUUGUUUACUCUUCUGGUAUAAGGUCACAUACACUGUCAAAUUGGCUUCUCUUUAUACAAUAGACAAAUAUAUUAUGCAUUGUAUAAUGCCAGCUGCCCAGCUACAAGAGGAGCUCAUUGUAUAAUCAGUUCAUCAAGGCAAGGGUAUUGCUCAUCUGUACCUGUGUCAUUUUCCAACUGAAAGAUUCUAUCAGAUGUUGAAUAUUACUUUUCUCAGUUAAUUAGGUUUUGUCUUGAUUCUUAAUUUCCCACCGACAAACUAGGCUAGUCUAUCAGCCAACAUGCUUGAGUCGUGUGAUUUUUCUUAGGAAAAAGCAGCUCGUUAGAAUCCUAAAAUUGAAGAUUUAGCUAGACGAACAACCAGGCUAACUAUAAGACAUAAGACAACAUUGCAAACACCUAAAAUUAUGCUUAAUAACGUGUUGUUACGUCUGUCUUUGAUCAUUAAAUCAUCUGAGGGUGGAAAACUAAAUUCUAAAAGCUACUAUCGUGCCAUCCAAGGUNNNN
rnacentral:lncRNA from 1 species